rnacentral:rRNA from 1 species
AUGAACGCUAGCGACAGGCUUAACACAUGCAAGUCGAGGGGCAGCACAGGUAGCAAUACCGGGUGGCGACCGGCGCACGGGUGAGUAACGCGUAUGCAACUUACCUAUCAGAGGGGGAUAACCCGGCGAAAGUCGGACUAAUACCGCAUGAAGCAGGGGCCCCGCAUGGGGAUAUUUGCUAAAGAUUCAUCGCUGAUAGAUAGGCAUGCGUUCCAUUAGGCAGUUGGCGGGGUAACGGCCCACCAAACCGACGAUGGAUAGGGGUUCUGAGAGGAAGGUCCCCCACAUUGGUACUGAGACACGGACCAAACUCCUACGGGAGGCAGCAGUGAGGAAUAUUGGUCAAUGGGCGUAAGCCUGAACCAGCCAAGUCGCGUGAGGGAUGAAGGUUCUAUGGAUCGUAAACCUCUUUUAUAAGGGAAUAAAGUGCGGGACGUGUCCCGUUUUGUAUGUACCUUAUGAAUAAGGAUCGGCUAACUCCGUGCCAGCAGCCGCGGUAAUACGGAGGAUCCGAGCGUUAUCCGGAUUUAUUGGGUUUAAAGGGUGCGUAGGCGGCCUUUUAAGUCAGCGGUGAAAGUCUGUGGCUCAACCAUAGAAUUGCCGUUGAAACUGGGGGGCUUGAGUAUGUUUGAGGCAGGCGGAAUGCGUGGUGUAGCGGUGAAAUGCUUAGAUAUCACGCAGAACCCCGAUUGCGAAGGCAGCCUGCCAAGCCAUGACUGACGCUGAUGCACGAAAGCGUGGGGAUCAAACAGGAUUAGAUACCCUGGUAGUCCACGCAGUAAACGAUGAUCACUAGCUGUUUGCGAUACAGUGUAAGCGGCACAGCGAAAGCGUUAAGUGAUCCACCUGGGGAGUACGCCGGCAACGGUGAAACUCAAAGGAAUUGACGGGGGCCCGCACAAGCGGAGGAACAUGUGGUUUAAUUCGAUGAUACGCGAGGAACCUUACCCGGGUUUGAACGCAUUCGGACCGAGGUGGAAACACCUUUUCUAGCAAUAGCCGUUUGCGAGGUGCUGCAUGGUUGUCGUCAGCUCGUGCCGUGAGGUGUCGGCUUAAGUGCCAUAACGAGCGCAACCCUUGCCACUAGUUACUAACAGGUGAUGCUGAGGACUCUGGUGGGACUGCCAGCGUAAGCUGCGAGGAAGGCGGGGAUGACGUCAAAUCAGCACGGCCCUUACAUCCGGGGCGACACACGUGUUACAAUGGCGUGGACAAAGGGAUGCCACCUGGCGACAGGGAGCGAAUCCCCAAACCACGUCUCAGUUCGGAUCGGAGUCUGCAACCCGACUCCGUGAAGCUGGAUUCGCUAGUAAUCGCGCAUCAGCCAUGGCGCGGUGAAUACGUUCCCGGGCCUUGUACACACCGCCCGUCAAGCCAUGGGAGCCGGGGGUACCUGAAGUCCGUAACCGCGAGGAUCGGCCUAGGGUAAAACUGGUGACUGGGGCU